rnacentral:rRNA from 1 species
UUUAAUACGUCUUUUUGUCUGAUGCAGUCGAGCGGAACGAAGAAGAACUUGUUCUUCUGGCGUCGAGCGGCGGACGGGUGAGUAAUGCUUGGGAAUAUGCCUUAAGGUGGGGGACAACAGUUGGAAACGACUGCUAAUACCGCAUAAUGUCUACGGACCAAAGGAGGGGAUCUUCGGACCUUUCGCCUUUAGAUUAGCCCAAGUGAGAUUAGCUAGUUGGUGGGGUAAUGGCCUACCAAGGCGACGAUCUCUAGCUGGUUUGAGAGGAUGAUCAGCCACACUGGGACUGAGACACGGCCCAGACUCCUACGGGAGGCAGCAGUGGGGAAUAUUGCACAAUGGGGGAAACCCUGAUGCAGCCAUGCCGCGUGUGUGAAGAAGGCCUUCGGGUUGUAAAGCACUUUCAGCGAGGAGGAAAGGUUAGUAGCUAAUAACUGCUAGCUGUGACGUUACUCGCAGAAGAAGCACCGGCUAACUCCGUGCCAGCAGCCGCGGUAAUACGGAGGGUGCGAGCGUUAAUCGGAAUUACUGGGCGUAAAGCGUGCGUAGGCGGUUGUAUAAGCGAGAUGUGAAAGCCCCGGGCUUAACCUGGGAACUGCAUUUCGAACUGUGCGACUAGAGUUUUGUAGAGGGUGGUGGAAUUUCCAGUGUAG